GAUGAACGCUGGCGGCGUGCUUAACACAUGCAAGUCGAAUGGUGAAGCAGGAGCUUGCUCCUGUGGAUCAGUGGCGAACGGGUGAGUAACAAGUGAGCAAUCUGCCCUGGAACCUGGGAUAAGCGUUGGAAACGACGUCUACUACCGGAUACGAGGCAUGGGGGCAUCCCCAACGCCUGGAAAGAACUUAGGUCCAGGAUGAGCACGCGGCCUACCAGGUAGUGGGUGAGGUAACGGCUCACCAAGCCUACGACUGGUAGCCGGCCUGAUAGGGUGAACGGACACACUGGGACUGAGACACGGCCCAGACUCCUACGGAAGGCAUCAGUGGGGAAUAUUGCACAAUGGGCGCAAGCCUGAUGCAUCAACGCCGCGUGAGGGACGACGGCCUUCGGGUUGUAAACCUCUUUUAGCAGGGAAGAAGCGAAAGUGACGGUACCUGCAGAAAAAGCACCGGCUAACUACGUGCCAGCCGCCGCCGUAAGAC
rnacentral:rRNA from 1 species